rnacentral:misc_RNA from 1 species
ACUCACUCACCCUCGCACUAAUCUGCCACGCACCGACUUAAGCGCGAAAAGGGUGAGAGAAUAUACUCGCCCCUACGCUCUACGCACAGAGGGAACUCGGCGGUACCACGCUGCUGCGAGAAGGACCACAGUGCUGUAUUUGGCCCUGUACGAUGGGAUACGAGCCGCAGCUGUCACUUUCUGACCCACACGCGCGCGUGUCUCUGCCUCUGCUGCCGCUGUGCGCAGUCUCCCAUCCACCGAGGAUAAGCCGCUCGCUGCAGGCGGGGAACUGUUAAGGAAACAGUACUCGUCGACAGGGCGCAAGCAUUCGAGAGAGAGGUGCAAUAGAUUUGUAGACACGCGGUGGGAAGGGAGCAGCACCGCUGAGUAGAACGCUCGUCUUCAGCUCCAUCCCCUGCUACGCCCUUUCUCGCGCAAAGCGAUCGGUCGACGCGGAGGUGCUCCCGCGCAGGUAAGCGCUGCGACCUCUGCGAUGGCCUCUGCCUCGUUGGCUGCGGCGGUGAGGGUUGCAGCUCGUGAUGACCCUUCGCCUUUUCCGCAACCACCACGAACAGCAACGCAACGUCCUUGCUUGAACGUGCUGGGUGGACUGCAGUGCACGCCGUCCCGUCGCUCGCUGAAGUUUUCUGCCAGCUGGCAUGCGCGGCAGUUUCUCGCCUUCGACACCGCAAUCAGCCGCGACGAGCGGCUCUUCUUGUUUAUGGAGCUCUUUGUGUUCCGCCAGCAACUGGUCGAUCGGCGCGUGCUGCCCGACUUCCAACUCGCCACAUACGCACCGGAGGAGCUUCUAGAGGUGCGCGUCAUCACCGACCCGCGCCACCCCGCUUACGGGCAGGCAGGCCUCUUUGCCAAGAGCACGAUCCCGUCCAACACAAUCGUCACGCCUUACUCCGGCUUCAUUGAGGUCUUUGCCACGUCGUGCAACUCUCGCACGUACACGAUGGGGUUUGGCGCCGUCGGGGACGACUAUGCGCUCGACGCGGAGUUUGUGGGCAACUAUGGCCGCUUCGCGAACGACCCGCGUGGCGUCGGAACUCUGCAGGCGAACCUCUCCGCUGAAAACCGCUUUAACAACCGUGGAGAGUCUUUCACAGCACUCGUGUCGCGGCGACAGAUCAACCCGGGAGAGGAAAUACUCAUGUCCUACGGCAAGGCACAUCGACUGAGCGCGACACCAUGGAUGAACGUCCAGGGAGAGCCCAUCAUGCGACCACGUCUCGGCGGUGUGGUACCGUUUCCGUCUUUCCGCACUGAAUCUGUCUCCGCUGCCUCUGAUUCGACUUCUGCGCCCCCUGCGCUUGCCACAUCGUUGCCGCAAAGGUCUGCCGACAGCGCCAAGGCCGAGGGCAGCUGCGCAGCGGAGGGGCCAGGCGUCGCUGCCGGCAGUGCCUCUGCGACAGGUAGUUCCGCCUCAGUAUCCGAGGCUGAUGGCUCAUCAGCGCCGGCAGUCGACCGGGCGGGGAUCACCUGGAGUGCGCCUAACACGAAGCAGCCGCUGGCGCGGCCGAGGUGCUUGCCUGACGUGGCUAACGAUCUUCUUUGGGAGUGCACGCAGUGCGGUAUGUGGUCGAUCUGUGAGGCGUCCACGGCGGAUGCACCGCUGCGCUGCGCUGCUUGCGCCACCCCAAAGCUGAGUGGCGCACGGCUAGUGAGUCUGCUCAGCAGUCCAGCUAUCACACAGGCGACGUUGCUAGCAGAAGCAGGGCUCGACUCUCAAGGGCCCUCUGCAGCAAGCACCUCCACGCCGCCGCAAACGCAGGUCUCCGCUGCGCCACUUACCUCCUCUACUAACUUCAGCUCUGAGCACACCGACUGGCCCAUGAACGUGCCAUUUUUACCGUGGCAGGUCUGGGACGCCGCCGUGCCGCUGACGGUGCUGGCGAAGCACUCGCGCUUCGAGACCCAGAGACACAUAUUCGUGUACACGGUCGACACCGGGCUGGGCCGAGAGAAGCGCGGCCGCAGUGUGCUUGACGCCAACGGGAGCGGGCCCACAGUGGCUGCACCGAUGCCGCCAGGGGCCCCCGACGCGGAGCAAUCGCAGGAAGCCCGUCCUUUCAAGGCGAGCCGAUUCCAGUCUCAGUCCCGCAACGCAGAUGACGCCUCGCUAGCGGGGGUGCGAGUUCGUGACGAACACCCUAUUGUCACAGAAGAGAACCGGACCGGUCGUGGCCGGUGCGGCAGCGCCGCUCACGGCAGUGGCCGCUCGAAGCGCAACGCGCUGUGGGAACGACAGGGCGAUCUGGACUCGGAGGAGCUCGCACUUCUCACCCCCGGUAUUGCGGCGCUGCCCUUGCUAUCAUCUUCCGUGUCCGCAUACUCGCCGGCGCAUGCUCUGGCCUCUGCCGCCUCGCCGACGAAGCUGCCUUUUCUCGAGUGGACAGCGUCAGCGAGCGGAGAAAAGAGUACUUCCACAGACGAGCACUUGGGCGUUGCGCAGAUCGGAAGUUUCACCGCGGUCGCGUCGCGCGACACAAGCGACUCCGUUGCAGGCAUUUUGACACGACCCCCGCUGUCUUACCUCUUGUCCACGACGCAGGAGGUAGACCGGCUUGUUGUUCUGCACCGUGCCGCCGCCAGUGGGCCGUCGCCGGUUGCUGAGACGUCGUAUUCGCCACAGAUGACCCUUGUCCGCCGGCGCUUGCAGUGCAUGACGCGCAGGCUUUUCACUGGCAAAGCGUUUCAGCCAGGUGACGUCGUCAGCUACGUUGGCGGCCUCGUGCGGCAGCGCGGUGACACCCGAUGCCGCGCGUCCAACUCCUGCCUCGAGAUCCCUCUUCGCUUCUUUCUGCCGCCGCGACUGCGCCGCCGUUGCGGCGGCGAGGCUUGCUUGGCACGCUCAGGAGAUUCGCCGAGCGACGCAGCGGAGGACGCGGCGUUGCAGACCUUCUGUGACCGCCUCGAUCGCCUUUCCCUUGUUGUGACAAACGAGUUCAUGUACUGCCCCUGCCUCGUGGUGGAGGUUACGCGGGUGAAGGAUAGGGCGGCAGUCGCAAUGACAGAGGUGAGCGGCUCUGCCAGCGAUAGCGUGGGGUAUGAGGACGAGGUGGAUGAUGCACUCGAGUCCUGCAACGUGGCCCUCGUGCUCACGCUGGACGCUCUUGGCAGCCCCUUUGCCUGUGCGGUGGCGAUUAAGCCCAUCGGCGCCUUUGAGCCUCUCCUGGCGCGUGCGCAGUAGCAGUAGUCACAGAGACGGGCGUCUCAGCAAUCUUAGGCGAUCUCCGCGAUGUGUUUUCCAUUCUUCCAACCUCGGCGCCAUUUUUUCUUCUGUGCUAUUUCCCUCACCCAGCAUAUUCUCUCGGGCGGUCGCCUUGCCCCUCUCGUGAUGCCGCAACAUCCGAAGGCUGCUGUGACUGGCUGGGAGUGCUAUGCUACUCUGCAGCGGCAGGGCUUCCCUGGAAGAAGUGGCUGCGGCACGCCAAGC